AAACGACUCUCGGCAACGGAUAUCUCGGCUCUCGCAUCGAUGAAGAACGUAGCGAAAUGCGAUACUUGGUGUGAAUUGCAGAAUCCCGUGAACCAUCGAGUCUUUGAACGCAAGUUGCGCCCGAAGCCAUUCGGCUUAGGGCACGUCUGCCUGGGCGUCACGCAU
rnacentral:rRNA from 1 species